rnacentral:rRNA from 2 species
GGGUUGUGAGGUUAAGCGACUAAGCGUACACGGUGGAUGCCCUGGCAGUCAGAGGCGAUGAAGGACGUGCUAAUCUGCGAUAAGCGUCGGUGAGGUGAUAUGAACCGUUAUAACCGGCGAUUUCCGAAUGGGGAAACCCAGUGUGUUUCGACACACUAUCAUUAACUGAAUCCAUAGGUUAAUGAGGCGAACCGGGGGAACUGAAACAUCUAAGUACCCCGAGGAAAAGAAAUCAACCGAGAUUCCCCCAGUAGCGGCGAGCGAACGGGGAGGAGCCCAGAGCCUGAAUCAGUGUGUGUGUUAGUGGAAGCGUCUGGAAAGGCGCGCGAUACAGGGUGACAGCCCCGUACACAAAAAUGCACAUAUUGUGAGCUCGAUGAGUAGGGCGGGACACGUGGUAUCCUGUCUGAAUAUGGGGGGACCAUCCUCCAAGGCUAAAUACUCCUGACUGACCGAUAGUGAACCAGUACCGUGAGGGAAAGGCGAAAAGAACCCCGGCGAGGGGAGUGAAAAAGAACCUGAAACCGUGUACGUACAAGCAGUGGGAGCCUCUUAAUGGGGUGACUGCGUACCUUUUGUAUAAUGGGUCAGCGACUUAUAUUCUGUAGCAAGGUUAACCGAAUAGGGGAGCCGAAGGGAAACCGAGUCUUAACUGGGCGUUAAGUUGCAGGGUAUAGACCCGAAACCCGGUGAUCUAGCCAUGGGCAGGUUGAAGGUUGGGUAACACUAACUGGAGGACCGAACCGACUAAUGUUGAAAAAUUAGCGGAUGACUUGUGGCUGGGGGUGAAAGGCCAAUCAAACCGGGAGAUAGCUGGUUCUCCCCGAAAGCUAUUUAGGUAGCGCCUCGUGAAUUCAUCUCCGGGGGUAGAGCACUGUUUCGGCAAGGGGGUCAUCCCGACUUACCAACCCGAUGCAAACUGCGAAUACCGGAGAAUGUUAUCACGGGAGACACACGGCGGGUGCUAACGUCCGUCGUGAAGAGGGAAACAACCCAGACCGCCAGCUAAGGUCCCAAAGUCAUGGUUAAGUGGGAAACGAUGUGGGAAGGCCCAGACAGCCAGGAUGUUGGCUUAGAAGCAGCCAUCAUUUAAAGAAAGCGUAAUAGCUCACUGGUCGAGUCGGCCUGCGCGGAAGAUGUAACGGGGCUAAACCAUGCACCGAAGCUGCGGCAGCGACGCUUAUGCGUUGUUGGGUAGGGGAGCGUUCUGUAAGCCUGUGAAGGUGUGCUGUGAGGCAUGCUGGAGGUAUCAGAAGUGCGAAUGCUGACAUAAGUAACGAUAAAGCGGGUGAAAAGCCCGCUCGCCGGAAGACCAAGGGUUCCUGUCCAACGUUAAUCGGGGCAGGGUGAGUCGACCCCUAAGGCGAGGCCGAAAGGCGUAGUCGAUGGGAAACAGGUUAAUAUUCCUGUACUUGGUGUUACUGCGAAGGGGGGACGGAGAAGGCUAUGUUGGCCGGGCGACGGUUGUCCCGGUUUAAGCGUGUAGGCUGGUUUUCCAGGCAAAUCCGGAAAACCAAGGCUGAGGCGUGAUGACGAGGCACUACGGUGCUGAAGCAACAAAUGCCCUGCUUCCAGGAAAAGCCUCUAAGCAUCAGGUAACAUCAAAUCGUACCCCAAACCGACACAGGUGGUCAGGUAGAGAAUACCAAGGCGCUUGAGAGAACUCGGGUGAAGGAACUAGGCAAAAUGGUGCCGUAACUUCGGGAGAAGGCACGCUGAUAUGUAGGUGAAGCGACUUGCUCGUGGAGCUGAAAUCAGUCGAAGAUACCAGCUGGCUGCAACUGUUUAUUAAAAACACAGCACUGUGCAAACACGAAAGUGGACGUAUACGGUGUGACGCCUGCCCGGUGCCGGAAGGUUAAUUGAUGGGGUUAGCGGUAACGCGAAGCUCUUGAUCGAAGCCCCGGUAAACGGCGGCCGUAACUAUAACGGUCCUAAGGUAGCGAAAUUCCUUGUCGGGUAAGUUCCGACCUGCACGAAUGGCGUAAUGAUGGCCAGGCUGUCUCCACCCGAGACUCAGUGAAAUUGAACUCGCUGUGAAGAUGCAGUGUACCCGCGGCAAGACGGAAAGACCCCGUGAACCUUUACUAUAGCUUGACACUGAACAUUGAGCCUUGAUGUGUAGGAUAGGUGGGAGGCUUUGAAGUGUGGACGCCAGUCUGCAUGGAGCCGACCUUGAAAUACCACCCUUUAAUGUUUGAUGUUCUAACGUGGGCCCCUAAUCGGGGUUGCGGACAGUGUCUGGUGGGUAGUUUGACUGGGGCGGUCUCCUCCUAAAGAGUAACGGAGGAGCACGAAGGUUGGCUAAUCCUGGUCGGACAUCAGGAGGUUAGUGCAAUGGCAUAAGCCAGCUUGACUGCGAGCGUGACGGCGCGAGCAGGUGCGAAAGCAGGUCAUAGUGAUCCGGUGGUUCUGAAUGGAAGGGCCAUCGCUCAACGGAUAAAAGGUACUCCGGGGAUAACAGGCUGAUACCGCCCAAGAGUUCAUAUCGACGGCGGUGUUUGGCACCUCGAUGUCGGCUCAUCACAUCCUGGGGCUGAAGUAGGUCCCAAGGGUAUGGCUGUUCGCCAUUUAAAGUGGUACGCGAGCUGGGUUUAGAACGUCGUGAGACAGUUCGGUCCCUAUCUGCCGUGGGCGCUGGAGAACUGAGGGGGGCUGCUCCUAGUACGAGAGGACCGGAGUGGACGCAUCACUGGUGUUCGGGUUGUCAUGCCAAUGGCACUGCCCGGUAGCUAAAUGCGGAAGAGAUAAGUGCUGAAAGCAUCUAAGCACGAAACUUGCCCCGAGAUGAGUUCUCCCUGAGACUUAGAGUCUCCUGAAGGAACGUUGAAGACGACGACGUUGAUAGGCCGGGUGUGUAAGCGCAGCGAUGCGUUGAGCUAACCGGUACUAAUGAACCGUGAGGCUUAACCUUACAACGCCGAAG